rnacentral:tRNA from 1 species
GGAGAGGUGCCAGAGUGGUCGAAUGGGCCGCAUUCGAAAUGCGGUGUACCUUUAUGGGUACCCAGGGUUCAAAUCCCUGCCUCUCCG